CGGUUCGUGCCGGAAGACUGGACUUCUAAUCCGUAGGUCGGUGGUUCGAAUCCACCCGGGCGUA
rnacentral:tRNA from 1 species